UGGGUCGGCUGGACGGUCGCGUCGCGCGCGGUUCGCCGUGUCGCGCCGAGGAACGUCCGGGCUCCGUAGAGCAGGGCGGUGGGUAACACCCACCCGGAGUGAUCCGCGAGACAGUGCCACAGAAAACAGACCGCCACGGUUUCGACCGCGGUAAGGGUGAAACGGCGGUGUAAGAGACCACCGGGGUCAUGGUGACAUGACCCGCAAGGUAAACCUCGCCCGGAGCAAGGUCAGACAGAGGAUGUUGACGCGGCUCGCCGAGUCCUCGGGUAGGCCGCUGGAGCGGCACGGCAACGUGUCGCCGAGAGAGAUGACCGUCCACGGGGUUCACGCCCCCGGACAGAACCCGGCGUACAGGCCGGCCCAUUCG
rnacentral:RNase_P_RNA from 1 species